rnacentral:rRNA from 1 species
UACGUAGGGUGCGAGCGUUGUCCGGAAUUAUUGGGCGUAAAGGGCUCGUAGGCGGUUUGUCGCGUCGGGAGUGAAAACCAGGUGCUUAACACCUGGCUUGCUUUCGAUACGGGCAGACUAGAGGUAUUCAGGGGAGAACGGAAUUCCUGGUGUAGCGGUGAAAUGCGCAGAUAUCAGGAGGAACACCAGUAGCGAAGGCGGCACUCUGGGCCGGAACUGACGCUGAGGAGCGAAAGCGUGGGGAGCGAACAGG